GACGAACGCUGGCGGCGUGCUUAACACAUGCAAGUCGAACGGAAAGGCCCUGCUGUUGUGGGAUGCUCGAGUGGCGAACGGGUGAGUAACAAGUUAGUAACCUGCCCUUUACUUUGGGGUAACUUCAGGAAACUGGGGCUAAUACCGGUUAGGAGCUCCUGCUGCAUGGUGGUGGUUGGCAAGUUUCGGCGGUUGGGGAUGGACUCGCGGCUUAUCAUCUUGUUGGUGGGGUAGUGGCUUACCAAGUCUUUGACGGGUAUCCGGCCUGAGAAGGUGACCGGCCCCAUUGGGACUGAGGUACGGCCCAGACUCCUACGGGAGGCAGCAGUGGGGAAUAUUGCACAAUGGGCGGAAGCCUGAUGCAGCAACGCCGCGUGCGGGAUGACGGCCUUCGGGUUGUAAACCGCUUUCGCCUGUGACGAAGCGUGAGUGACGGUAAUGUGUAAAGAAGCACCGGCUAACUACGUG
rnacentral:rRNA from 1 species